GGCCAAGGCCGGAGCUGGCUCCCUCAGCUUGCAGGGAGGGCAGGCCUCGGGACCUGCCGCCCACCAUGCCUGAGCCUCCCCGACGAGCGCUGCCCCCUGCUCCCCGACGCCCAGUCCCAUCGACCACCCAAGGGCUGAGGAGUGAAGGCGCAGGCGCAGGACUGGCAGGCAGCUCCACCUGCGGCCCCAGUGGGGGAUCCACUGGGUGAAGCCAGCUGGGCUCCUGAGUCUGGUGGGGAUUUGGAGAACAUUUAUGUCUAGCUAAGGGAUUGUAAAUACACCAAUUGGCACUCUGUAUCUAGCUCAAAGUUUGUAAACACACCAAUCAGCACCCUGUGUCUAGCUCAGGGUUUGUGAAUGCACCAAUGGACACUCUGUAUCUAGCUAAUCUAGUGGGGGGCCUGGAGAACUUUUGUAUCUAGCUCGGGGAUUGUAAAUGCACCAAUCAGCAGCCUGUCAAAACAGACCAAUCAGCUCUCUGUAAAACAGACCAAUCAGCUCUCUGUAAAAUGGACCAAUCAGCAGGAUGUGGGUGGGGCCAGAUAAGAGAAUAAAAGCAGGCUGCCCAAGCCUGUAGUGGUAACCCACUCGGGUUUGAUUGCCUACUGGGGAAGGUUUGUUUUUUCCUUCUUUGCAAUAAAUGUUGUUGUUGCUCA